UCCCGAUGUUGGAGGGGCUUGGUGGGGUGGGGCGGGAGGGGAACGAGACCGCCACACUGCCACGUGCCGCCACCUUCCCCGUGGGCGCCGUGCGGGUUUGCCGGUCGGCCUCUGGCGGCGGUGCUGCGGGGAGUUGUGAUGGAGGUGGGAACCUGGGCGGCGGGGCGGCGGCGUGGGCGAUCGUGAGCGUCGUGGGUGAGGCGUUGAGACGGUGGGAGGACGUGGGGGAAGACUUUUAGCCAUAGAGG
rnacentral:lncRNA from 1 species